rnacentral:rRNA from 1 species
CAGUAGCCGCGGUAACACGGAGGGUGCAAGCGUUAUCCGGAUUUAUUGGGUUUAAAGGGUCCGUAGGCGGAUCUGUAAGUCAGUGGUGAAAUCUAACAGCUUAACUGUGAAACUGCCAUUGAUACUGCAGGUCUUGAGUAAAUUUGAAGUGGCUGGAAUAAGUAGUGUAGCGGUGAAAUGCAUAGAUAUUACUUAGAACACCAAUUGCGAAGGCAGGUCACUAAGAUUUAACUGACGCUGAUGGACGAAAGCGUGGGGAGCGAACAGGAUUAGAUACCCCGGUAGUCCCUGUCUCUUAUAC